rnacentral:snRNA from 1 species
GUGCUCGCUUCGGCAGCACAUAUACUAAAAUUGGAACGAUACAGAGAUUAGCACGGCCCCUGCGCAAGGAUGACUGCAAAUUUGUGAAGCGUUCCAUAUCUCU